rnacentral:lncRNA from 10 species
CCAGUUCCUGGACAAGCCACCUCCUGUGCGCAUGAGACGUUCUGUGGGUUCAGAACUGCUUCCCCUUUUUGGAAUGUCAAAAUACGCAUUUCCUGCCAAAUGCUUCGGGGAGCUGCGAUGCUGAGAUAACCCGGCUCCUCCAGGCUGCCUCAUCUCAGCGAUUAUCCUGAAGGAGCACCCGCCCUUCAGGUGUCCCAGAAGCUGCUUGUCAGGCCAGGAAGACAGCAGCCCUGAUGAUCAGUUCUUCCUAAAGCCAUCCGGCUCCUGGGGAGAGGCAGGACAGCCCCCCAGGGCAGGGAGAGCACUCGGAGGGGCCAGCAGGAGGCGUCCGGCUCAAGGUCUUCAACGCCACCUUUUAUGAUGAAAGUGUCCUUGAAUGAGAGAGUGGUGGGCAGUGACGCACGGCUUUGUGAAUAGCCUGUCAAGCACCGAGCUGCAAACUUUAACAUGGAGAAUUUUACGGCAUGUGAAUUACUUCUCCAUUAAAAAACCUUUUUUUUUUUUUUGAAAAUCACCUUUUUAAUGAGUGAAGACUUUCCUGGCUACAAGAUCCACCAUCUUGGCCCGACCCCUGACGUUCCCUGUCCUUCUUCACAGCAUCUUUCUUCUCCUCAGUGGCUAUCAUGGGACGUGCCAUAUACAGGCCUCCUCCUCUAGCACGCAGCCUCCAUAAGGGGCAGGGCCUGCGGGCUGUUUGUCCCUGCUGUAUGCCCAGUCCCUCAGCACAAGGAAAUAAAAAUGUGAUUGGAAUGAAGGAGGGAUUGAAAGGGGGGUGAUUCUGGGUGGAGGUGAGGGCGCUUGGGCCAAGUCCUGCUUGUCUCCGCCUCCGCUCUCUGGGGCCUUUGAACAGGAGCCCCAGGGCCCCAGGGUCAGUUUGGAAACCCCCAUGUAGCCAGGCAAAGGCUUUCAUUUCCCGUUCAUUUUACGAAUGUGUCUCCGGCGGCUCAUUUCAUCUUCAAGUGACACAGGACAUCACGAAGGCCUUCUGUGGUAUUUGUACGCCACUAUUCAUUGCAGUGUGAUUCACGACAGCAGAAGGUGGGAGCAACCCGGGUGUCCACCACGGAUGGACAUGGAUCAUGGAUAAAUCCAAGUGUCAUCAAACAAACAAAACGUGGUAUUGCACAUGAUGAACUAUUAAGAGGAAGGAAAUCCUGACACACGCUACAACAUGGAUGAACCUUGAGGACAUUAUGAGUGAAAUAAGCCAGUCACAGAAAGACGAAUACUGUAUGAUUCCAUUGAUACGUGGUUCUCAGAUUCACAGAGACAGAAAGCAGAAUGGUGGGUGCCCAGGGCUGGAGGAGGGAGCAGUGGGGAGUUAGUGUUUAGUGGGUGCAGAGCUUUGGUUCUGCAAGGUGAAAAGGGUUCUGGAGAUGGAGGGUGGUGGUGGUUUCACAAGCGCAUGAAUGUAUUUAGCACCACUGAGCUAAAACAUGCUUACGAUGGUACAUUUUGAGUUACGUGUAUUUUAGCACAAUGUUUUAAAAGAAGAGAGAAAAAAGAGGUGUGUGGGGGGUGCUAUAGAGCUGCCCGGGGCAAAACCAGGAGUCCAGAACCCUCCCAACUUCCUCAUCCCCCAGAGACUGCUUCCCAUUCUUCACACAUCCAUCGCUCCAAAAUGCCAGUCUGGCUGGAUUGCAGAGCUUUGAAAGGGAGAGUGCAUUUCAGACUCCUAAUGCCUUUCAUCAUGGCCCAGGCAAUUUUUUUUUCUUUUUUUUGAGACGGAGUCUCACUCUGUCGCCCAGGCUGGAGUGCAGUGGCGCGAUCUCGGCUCACUGCAAGCUCUGCCUCCCGGGUUCAUGCCAUUCUCCUGCCUCAGCCUCCCGAGUAGCUGGGACUACAGGUGCCCGCCACCACGCCUGGCUAAUAUUUUUUUUUUUUGUAUUUUUAGUAGAGACCGGGUUUCACCAUGUUAGCCAGGAUGGUCUCGAUCUCCUGACCUUGUGAUCCGCCCACCUCGGCCUCCCAAAGUGCUGGGAUUACAGGUGUCAGCCACCGCACCCGGCCAGCCCAUCCAAUUUUUACUCAACAAGGGAGGAGGAAGUGAGAAAUAAGGUCAUUAAACAAAAUGGUCUUGCUUGAACAUGUGCCUCCUGCAACUACCCACACACACAUGGGCACACACAUGCACACGCACGUCUCCCCACCAUCACUAAGAAAUGCAGCUUGAAUCCAGAUGGUAAACAAGCUCAUUAGCCUAGCAUCAACCUAGAUUUGCUGGUGCAGUCUCCUGCCUGCGGGACGUCAGGCCUCCAAAUUGUACCUUCUGCCUGGAAAGUCUGAAGCACAUCAAAGCCCGGGAGCAGAGGGCAGCGGGCUAAUUAGACGCUGCCCAGGCAGGCAGCCGCUGGGAGGCUGUGCGAAGAGGCGGUCUGCCAAAGAGUGGAUCCCUGG